CUCGCAAUGCUGGAGGUGGUGCUCUCAAUCCUCAUAAACCGGUGUUUGGUGGCGGCCGAGGAAAUCGAUACAACUUGGGUAAGGGUUCUCCUAAUCCGAAAUGCAGGUCGCCGUACAAACGCGACUGCAAGUAGUUUCUUUCAUAUACUAGCAGUUAUUCCAUGCCCAUGAUAUGUACCUAUUUAAUUUUAAGGGAGCUUGUUAAUUCCCUUUCUACGACUGUCAUUAUUAUCUAUUGGAACCGAGUGGGUGUCGAAUUGAAUCAUAUAAUACUCAUGGUAUGUUCACUAAAUAGCAUCUAAAAGAAAA